UUGGUUGGGGUUCUCUUUCUUGUUGAUGUGGAUGGACAGCCGCUGCCACAGGUGCUGACCCCGGCUACUCUUCUCAUUCUGUGCCCACGUGACAGAUUUUCCAUUGGAGCUGCGGAGAGAAGGGAGACAAGAGGACCUUGAAAUGAGGAAGCAGAUGGCCAGGAGGAAGGAUGCUAAACAUGAGUAGAACCUUCAAAAGAAUGUGAGCUCUAUGAAGCCAUGAUAUUAGACUGUUUUCUUCACUGCCAUCUUGCCAGUGCCUGUGACAUUGCCGAGCUUAUUACAGAAUGCAGCUGAAAACCCCGAGUGGAAUGAUUGGAGCAGCUUUCUGAGGAUUCUGAAAAAUAUACAGAGAGUGGCAAAAGAGUUGAUUCUUCUGAUGUGCAUAUACCCGGCUGAGGCUGAACAAGGUAUGAAAUGAACGCAUCGAGAGAGAAGAUCAGUAAAUAAUUGACCAACUCUUCGUAGAAAGCGUAUAGGAAGACUCUGGUUUGAAUUUGUGGAGCAGGAGAGAAGAACACCACAAGCACAGCAGCUGCAUCCAAAUGAAUCUUUCCCUGGGGAAGGAAAUAUUUUAUUUUCCCUCCAAGGCCACAAGAAGCCAGGAACAUGAAGAGGAGCUGACAGAAGGCAGUUUUUAUCUCAGGGAGAGCUGCUUUUUCCUGACAGUGGUGCUG